GACGAACGCUGGCGGCGUGCUUAACACAUGCAAGUCGAACGAAGUGGCGAACGGGUGAGUAACGAGUAAUCACCCUGCCCUUCAGAGGGGGACAACAGUUGAAAACGACUGCUAAUACCGCAUACUGAAGGAGGGGAUUGCGUCGGAUUAGCUAGUUGGAGGGGUAACGGCCCACCAAGGCGAGGAACAGUAGCCGGUCUGAGAGGAGGCACGGCCACAUUGGGACUUAGACCCGGCCCAGACUGCUACGGAAGGCAGCAGUGGGGAAUCUUCCGCAAUUGACGAAAGUCUGACGGCGCAACGCCGCGUGGGUGAUGACGGCCUUCGGGUUGUAAAGCUCUGUUAAUCGGGACGCGGUACCGGAAUAGAAAGCCACGGCUAACUACGUGCCAGCAGCCGCGGUAAUUC
rnacentral:rRNA from 1 species